GACGAACCGUGCGAACGUUGUUCGGAAUCACUGGGCUUAAAGGGCGCGUAGGCGGGCAGUCAAGUCAGAGGUGAAAGCCCACGGCUCAACCGUGGAAGUGCCCCUGAUACUGAUUGUCUCGAGGGAGGUAGGGGCGUGCGGAACUUCCGGUGGAGCGGUGAAAUGCGUAGAUAUCGGAAGGAACACCGGUGGCGAAGGCGGCUCUCUGGGCCUUACCUGACGCUGAGGAGCGAAAGCGUGGGUAGCGAACAGG
rnacentral:rRNA from 1 species